rnacentral:tRNA from 1 species
GGGGAUAUAGCUCAGUGGUAGAGUGCACGCUUAGCAUGCACAAGGUCCUGGGUUGAAUCUCCAGUAUCUCCC